CGUGCAGGCGGCCUGGUAAGUCGGGCGUGAAAUCUCUCGGCUCAACCGGGAGGGGUCGUCCGAAACUACUAGGCUUGAGGGCAGUAGAGGGAGGUGGAAUUCCCGGUGUAGUGGCGAAAUGCGUAGAGAUCGGGAGGAACACCAGUGGCGAAGGCGGCCUCCUAGGCUGUCCCUGACGCUCAGACGCGAAAGCUAGGGGAGCGAACGGGAUUAGAAACCCCGGUAGUCCUAGCUGUAAACGAUGCAGACUAGGUGUUGGCAGCUUAAACCCUGCCAGUGCCGUAGCCAACGCGUGAAGUCUGCCGCCUGGGGACUACGGCCGCAAGGCUAAA
rnacentral:rRNA from 1 species